CCAACGGGGAUAGGCAUAGGCCAGCGGAUUUAUAAAAGGAGGGACAGCGGGAGGGAAAGGAGGUGAGCGCGAAGCGAGAGUCUAGGGAAGAGGAGGCAGAGCGGGCGCACAACCCUAUCCUCGGUACCGCCUGGUCGAGUGGCUGCUGGUCUAGCGGCUCAAGUUCCUCCGGAAGUCGGAGAAGCUGUUCCUACCUCUGCCGACGUAGUGGUGGUUCCUUGAACCUUGACACUACGCGAGCGACCCCGUCUUGGGGUGACUCCGUCUCGAAGUCCUAUACUAGUUACUUCACCUACGACUACCGUUACCUUGCUAACUGAAAGGACUCAAGGAAUUGGACUACCGUGCAUUCUACUUUCUGUGGCUGAGGCUCCUCCUCGAAUUCCUCCGAAAGGCACACAAACUGUUCCUGGUCUUACCAAAGUAGAGCCGUCGACUUGAGGCGGUACAGUACUGGUUGGAACCACUCUUCGACUGUCUGCUCCUCCACCUACUCUACUAGGCACUCCGACUACAGCUACCACUACCGGUCUAGUUAAUGCUUCUCAAACACUUCCACUACUACCGGUUCACUCGACGGUAUGAUUCGAUCAAGAUAGAGCUACAAUCGUCGAUCAAAUCGGAACUUUUGACUGUCGUGAACCAUGAUGACAAUUCAGGUCACUUACUUGUAUAACGAGCGAGAAGGAAAGAAGAGUCCCUACAACUCUUAAAGCAAACCUAAAAGGACGUCAACAUAAUGGAAACAUGUUACAUCGAAAGAAAGGUUUAACUCUAGUACUUAAACGACAUCGAAUACGGAAGUACCAUAGUUCAACGUACCUACAGACUAUAAAACACA
rnacentral:rRNA from 1 species